AGUCGUACGAGAAAGGGCUUCGGCCCUGAGUAAAGUGGCGCACGGGUGAGUAACGCGUGGGUAUCUGCCCUUAGGUCUGGAAUAACUUGUCGAAAGACAAGCUAAUACCAGAUGAUAUUGUAAAAUCAAAGCCGUAAGGUGCCUAAGGAUGAGCCCGCGUCCCAUUAGCUAGUUGGUGGGGUAAUGGCCUACCAAGGCGACGAUGGGUAGCUGGUCUGAAAGGAUGAUCAGCCACACUGGAACUGAAACACGGUCCAGACUCCUACGGGAGGCAGCAGUGAGGAAUAUUGCGCAAUGGGAGCAAUCCUGACGCAGCAACGCCGCGUGAGUGACGAAGGCCUUCGGGUUGUAAAGCUCUGUUGAGAGGGAAGAAUUCUGACGGUACCUCUCGAGGAAGCACCGGCUAACUCCGUGCCAGCAGCCGCGGUAAUACGGAGGGUGCAAGCGUUGUUCGGAAUCACUGGGCGUAAAGCGGGUGUAGGCGGUUUAUUAAGUCAGAUGUGAAAGCCCAAGGCUUAACCAUGGAAGUGCAUCUGAAACUGAUAGGCUAGAGUUCUAGAGAGGAAAGUGGAAUUCCUGGUGUAGAGUGAAAUCCGUAUAUAUCAGAGGAAUACCAGUGGCGAAGGCGACUUUCUGGAUAGAUACUGACGCUAAGACCGAAGCGUGGGGAGCAAACAGAUUAGAUACCCUGGUAGUUCACGCCUAACGAUGGAUACUAGU
rnacentral:rRNA from 1 species